rnacentral:lncRNA from 1 species
AUGUUACUACUACUAACGUUACCGCUGUAGGCAAAGAUCCCAACGUGUCUACUACAUGAAGUUGAAACAGCAGACCUUGGAGUGCCUAGAGAGCCCCAGGUAGGCAGAAUCUCAGCAGAAAGCUGUCAGACAGACUGAUGCAGGAAGAGGAGUUAAAGAGUAGCAGCAGUGCCAGUGAAGGAGUGACAGAAGAGACUGAACAAGCAAGUAAUAAGGGAAAGGAAGAGUAUGGACAGAUUCAAAGUGAGGAAGAUUAGAUUUUAAAUGAUCCAGCACUGUGGCCAGAGAAAUUACAAGACCAUGAAAGAGAAGCUAUUGUUUGCAGACUAGCCAACAGGUGUGGUGAGGAGACAGAACUGUAUAAAAUCAUGCCCCCAGAUUCAGAAGGCAAGCCAUUCCCCAACUAUUUACAGUACACAAAGUAAACCAUCACCCAGUUCUCUGAAUAGUAAGGAUGGCUAUAAGAUAUCAUCAGUGAAAUGGUGGAGAAUGUAUGACAAACUACCAGAGCAUGAGGAUGGUGUCUCACAAGAACUGUUACUUGAAAUGGAAAAAUCUGCAGCAUACCGUAACAACAGGUAUAGACAGUCAGCUGCAGUAACAAAUUCAGUCAGAAAUGUAUAAAAACAGAGCACUUCUAGAAAGGAUUUUGGAUGUGACACUGUACUUAGCAUCUAGGAAUCUGCCAUUCUGGGGGAAUUCCCUCAAUCUUGAUGACGUGCAUAAUGGACAUUACCUGGAUUUACUGGAACUGUUGUCAAAUUAUGACCUGCUAUUAUGUGAGCACGACAUAAAGAAAGGAGCAUGACUGACUCAUUACCUCAGCCCUGAGAGCCAAAACGUGUUCAUAGGAAUAUGUGGUCAAAGGGUUUGGAAAAC